UACAGAGGGUGCGAGCGUUGUCCGGAAUCACUGGGCGUAAAGGGCGCGUAGGCGGCCAGACAAAGUCGAGCGUUAAAUUCCAGGGCUUAACCCUGGGCUGUUGCUCGAUACUAGUCGGCUAGAGUGUGGAAGAGGGUGCUGGAAUUCCCGGUGUAGCGGUGAAAUGCGUAGAUAUCAGGAGGAACACCGAUGGCGAAGGCAGGUCUCUGGGCCACUACUGACGCUGAGAAGCGAAAGCAUGGGGAGCGAACAGG
rnacentral:rRNA from 1 species